UAAGGCACAUGGACGGAAAAUGUGUAUCCUGAAGAGUGAAGAGACAACCAUCCACGCCGCGCCUCGCACUCCAUCAACUGAUCAGCUAAGCACCCCACUAGUCAGCAAGAUUGGACCACGCCUUCCAGCCCCAGGGCUGCAUGAAGGUGUGUUUUUUUCACACCCUGUGCCUUAUCACCACGGCAACAAUUUUUCCGUCUGCACAACCCUAACUUUUCUUACACAUUUUUUACAGGUGCGUUGUCUGCCAGUAGUUCAAUUUCGAGGAAAAGGGAUGGAAGCUUAUCAUCAAGUAUACAAUCUGGUCCGUCGAAGAGGCUUUGUUUAC
rnacentral:lncRNA from 1 species